UGGGGAAUUUUCCGCAAUGGGCGCAAGCCUGACGGAGCAACGCCGCGUGAGGGAGGACGGCCUGUGGGUUGUAAACCUCUUUUCUCAGGGAAGAAGAUUCUGACGGUACCUGAGGAAUCAGCAUCGGCUAACUCCGUGCCAGCAGCCGCGGUAAGACGGAGGAUGCAAGCGUUAUCCGGAAUUAUUGGGCGUAAAGCGUCCGUAGGCGGUUAUAUAAGUCUGCUGUUAAAGGCUUCAGCUCAACUGGAGUUCGGCAGUGGAAACUAUAUGACUAGAGAGUGGUAGGGGUAGAGGGAAUUCCUAGUGUAGCGGUGAAAUGCGUAGAUAUUAGGAAGAACACCAGUGGCGAAGGCGCUCUACUGGGCCAUGACUGACGCUGAUGGACGAAAGCUAGGGGAGCGAAAGGGAUUAGAUACCCCCGUAGUCC
rnacentral:rRNA from 1 species